rnacentral:rRNA from 1 species
AUGUCUAAUAUAGACCAAACCUGCUCCAACGAUGCAUUGGAGUACUUCUCUGAGAACAUAGGACUAAGAGGGCAGAUCUUGCGAGUCAAUGCUCUCAUAGUGGUUAACGGCAUCUUGAUGGGGUUCAUGGUCGGGAUAGGCGCCUAUGGCAAUCGCUACCGGCACAACCCACUGAUCCGUUUCCUCUUCCUGACUGCCACCACAUUGUUCCUGCCCAUUGUCUCUUAUAUUGUCUCUUCCAGUGGUUUAGGCACUGGCCAGUUGACCAGCAUACUACGCUAUGGUGAGUCCGAUCAGCUCAUAAAAGGGAUAUGUCAUGCAGAAAUAAACAUUUUCUUCAUCCUUAUAUGGACGGGUCUUGCUCUGAACAUUGGUAUCAAUACCACUGCACUAGUGGCCGCUGAUGCAAGAGAAGGUCAAAGCAGUCCUCCCAAUAUGACGCUACUUAUUCAAGCAGAUGGACUUCCUACCUAG